UGCUACAGGAGAAAGCAGAGGCCAAGAGU
rnacentral:piRNA from 1 species